UACGUAGGGGGCAAGCGUUGUCCGGAUUUAUUGGGCGUAAAGAGCGUGUAGGCGGCCUGGUAGGUCAGCUGUGAAAACUCGAGGCUCAACCUCGAGACGUCGGUUGAAACCACUUGGCUAGAGUCCGGAAGAGGAGUGUGGAAUUCCCGGUGUAGCGGUGAAAUGCGCAGAUAUCGGGAAGAACACCAGUGGCGAAGGCGGCACUCUGGGACGGUACUGACGCUGAGACGCGAAAGCGUGGGGAGCGAACAGG
rnacentral:rRNA from 1 species